CACGUAGGGCGCAAGCGUUGUCCGGAAUUAUUGGGCGUAAAGAGCUCGUAGGCGGUCUGUUGCGUCUGCUGUGAAAACUCGGGCUUAACCCCGAGCCUGCAGUGGAUACGGGCAGACUAGAGGUAGGUAGGGGAGAUCGGAAUUCCUGGUGUAGCGGUGAAAUGCGCAGAUAUCAGGAGGAACACCGGUGGCGAAGGCGGAUCUCUGGGCCUGUCCUGACGCUCAGGCGCGAAAGCUAGGGGAGCAAACAGG
rnacentral:rRNA from 1 species